UACGGAGGGUGCGAGCGUUAAUCGGAAUUACUGGGCGUAAAGCGCACGCAGGCGGAUUGUUAAGCUAGAGGUGAAAGCCCCGCGCUCAACGUGGGAAUUGCCUUUAGAACUGGCAGUCUAGAGUCUUGGAGAGGGGAGUGGAAUUCCAGGUGUAGCGGUGAAAUGCGUAGAGAUCUGGAGGAACAUCAGUGGCGAAGGCACUCCCUGGCCAAAAGACUGACGCUCAUGUGCGAAAGUGUGGGUAGCGAACAGGAUUAGAUACCCGUGUAGUCC
rnacentral:rRNA from 1 species